UACGAAGGGAGCGAGCGUUGUUCGGAAUCACUGGGCGCAAAGCGUGCGUAGGCGGUUUUGUAAGUCAGAAGUGAAAGCCUGGGGCUCAACCUCAGAAUUGCUUUUGAGACUGCAAAGCUAGAGUAUUGGAGAGGUUAGUGGAAUUCCGAGUGUAGAGGUGAAAUUCGCAGAUAUUCGGAGGAACACCAGUGGCGAAGGCGACUAACUGGACAAUUACUGACGCUGAGGCACGAAAGCGUGGGGAUCAAACAGG
rnacentral:rRNA from 1 species